AUGUUUGUAUUCUUAUAAUAGUUUCAAAGUGUUUUCUGCAACAUAUAAGUGCAAAUGUCGGUAUUUAAAUAAUAUAAUUUUAAUGAAUUAAUGAAAAUGAAAAAAGAAAUAAAAAAGGAUUGUUUAAAGCCAUGGUUCUCAAAGUGUCAGGCCCCCUCUAGUUGUUUUGCAGGUGAAUCACUAAAUUAAACUAAUUAAUGUUAAUACAUUUUAACUUAAUCUUUGAGUAAGUUUUUUUUUUGCACAUUUAAGUAUGUUACAGUUAAAGUACAGUACAGUUUUGUAACUUUUGUUACAUAAUUACAUUUAAAAUUAAAUUUUAAUUUAAACUUUUUUUUUUCAUUUACCUGUGUAUGUAAGCACAGUUGUAGUGUUAAUGUUCAAACUGUAUUUACCAUGGUAAAGUGUCUGACAAUUAAUUUUCUUAUUAGAAUAAAACUGCCUCAUUUUUUAACUAUAGACCUGUAGCUGAAUAGUUUGGCCUACUUCACUGCUGAAAUGUAAUGUUGGUCAUUAUGGUGCAACUUAAUAUUUAAUAACAAAUAUUUUCUGAAGUGGUACUUAUAAAAAGUUUGAGAAUCAAUGGUUUAAAGCAGUGGUCUCAAACUCAAUUCCUGGAGGGCCACAGCUCUGCAGAGUUUAGCUCCAACCAGCUCCAAAUCACACCUGCUUGGAAGUUUCUAGUAAUCCUGAAGACCUUGAUUAGCUGAAUCAGGUGUGUUUGAUUAUGGUUGGAGCAAACUGUGCAGAGCUGUGGCCCUCCAGGAAUUGAGUUUGAGAUCAAUGGUUUAAAGAAAUGGUAUAAUAUGAAAUCCUGCUUUUUAAGAACUUUUCAGUAAACUCUUUCUUCUUUCCCCUUGUAGAGUCAUCGAGGAUCCAGCUUGUUCUUUAAACAUUGAAGUUUGCCCUCUGCAAGUGAACGACGCCUUGUGGUGCCAUCCCAAAGAAGUUCACAAUAACCCUCACGGAUCUUUUCCUGGACUGUGCCCAGCUGGUGGAAUGACCUCCCAAUCUCAAUCCGAACUGCUGAGUCUUUACUCAUUUUCAAGAAACAUCUUAAGACUCAUCUUUUUCACCAGAACUUAACCAACUAAUGCUAGCACUUUUCCUUCUUUUCUUGUCUUUCAUAUUGAAAACUAGACUAACUGACACUUGUCAUGGCACUUGUAUUCUGUUGUUGUUCUCUUGUACACCUGACUGCUUCUGUUCUUCUCAUUUGUAAGUCGCUUUGGAUAAAUUUGUCUGUUUAAUGAUUAAAUGUAAAUGUUUAUACAGGACGGUACAGAAAGUGCACAAGUGGGAGAGAGUGGAGGGGACGGCGUCAGAAAGGACCUAGCGCUGGGACACUUUCAAGGAUCACCCGAAGCACAACCACACUGUAUACACUAAGGCUGCUGGUUCUAACAUUUUAGAGUGCCCUGCGGUAGAAAUCUCAUUCUGCAUUCCCCACGGUAAAGAAGACACAGUCCGGGGGGGUUCCCAUUAGAAAUCAACUGGUGGAAGGUUCCCUUCUCGAACUGUUCAACACAUUUUCACUGCACAAAUGUACACAACUCUUGUAAUGAGACACAUUACUAAAACAUGUUUUUGACAGAAACUGUAGGUUUCCACCAAAAUAAAAGAUCCACUGGUUUCAGUCAUAAAGGUACAAGGGUUUGUCUUGUAAGUGCUGCAAAAAAAUAUGCAUUUAUGUGCCAAAUUAUUUCACAAAAACCUUUAAAUAUUAUUGUAUUUGGAUUGUUCUCCUACAUGUUUUUAGCAUUACCUCCAUGCAUACUCUGCAUAAUAAAGUGUGGGAUUAUUUUCAUCUGUUUUAUAUAGUAUGUUUCCAAAAUUAAACUGCUGUUUGACAAUUUUGA